UUAUUUUUUAUUUAUACAAUUUAUUGUCCUAAAUUCACAAUCUUACACUUCACAAAUUUCACUGCUCAACCUAUACUCAGGUAAUCAGUUCAAAGUUGGACUAUUUUAACCCUUUCAGUUUUUAGACUCUAUAAUGUUAAAUCCAGUGUUUUAUUUUGAUUCUACAUUCAUUUUGAUUUUACUUUUGACUUUCAGUCUACGUUCAUUUUGAUUGAGUUGUUUUAAGGAUUUUGUGGGAGGACUCCCUUUGGAAUUGCCGAAUGCUGUUAUUUGUUGGGUGGAUGCCUUGGAAGUAGAGUUAAUUCUUACUAAAAAGUCAUUUCGAACUCGGAUUCAGCCAGCCUGUGAUCUGUGCAAAAUAUCCAUAUAUGGAUCAGUGCCAUGGACUCUUCUCAACCUAUGGACCUCAAAUCUCAUAUACGAACAUAAAAAAAAGCCUCCAAACCUCCAAAGACAGUAGCAAGAUCUUUGUUGAUGUGCUCAGGUAGAAAUUACAGAGGAGCUUAUUUGUUGGAGAUUUGAAGAAUAAAACUUAGCAGCGUGGUACCGCCGAAAGUGGUAAUUGCUAAUCAGGUUUCCACUCUUUUUUCCACACACUUUGGUUCAAAAGCAAUAUCAUUUGAAUGAUGAAACAUUAAGUUAGCAUCUCAAGUGAACUGUAUUUGCCACUUCUCUUUUAAAUGAAUUUUAAGAUCAGCUCCAAUCCAUGUUUGUUUAA